rnacentral:ncRNA from 16 species
CUGCACAUCCACGGGAGCUCGGGGAGCCGGGCUGAGAGGGCAGCCGAUCCGCUGCCGACCGUCAGAACCUGACCUGGGUAAUGCCAGCGGAGGAACACUCGUCGUCGCUCAG